AUCCCAUCCCGAACUCGGCCGUUAAACUCCUCAGCGCCAAUGGUACUUCGUCUCAAGACGCGGGAGAGUAGGUCGCUGCCAGGC
rnacentral:rRNA from 1 species